UACGAAGGGGGCUAGCGUUGCUCGGAAUCACUGGGCGUAAAGCGCACGUAGGCGGAUUGCUAAGUCAGGGGUGAAAUCCUGGAGCUCAACUCCAGAACUGCCUUUGAUACUGGCGACCUUGAGUCCGGGAGAGGUGAGUGGAACUGCGAGUGUAGAGGUGAAAUUCGUAGAUAUUCGCAAGAACACCAGUGGCGAAGGCGGCUCACUGGCCCGAUACUGACGCUGAGGCACGAAAGCAUGGGGAGCAAACAGG
rnacentral:rRNA from 1 species